rnacentral:lncRNA from 1 species
AGAAGGGUUCGGGCUGCAAGGAAUCCUAUUGUGUGAGAGCCAUGACACAGUGAGUGGGAGUUUUGAUCUUGACCUCCUGGAGCAUUUUCAUGGAAAAGGCAGUUCCAGGAUUCUUUGUGGCCUCUUCCACAGGAGAAAGUAAAGGAGCUAGAGGCCUCUAAAAAUUUAGUUAUUGAAGAACUGAAGUUAUUCACAGCAACCUGGCAGAAGAGAAUGUGAAAUACGUGGGUCUCAGGUAAUAGGUAAUAUCCCUAAUUCCACGGUGAUGCUGAGAAGCAGAGGGCGCCCUCAGAAGUAGUUUCUCUUAAGGAAUUUGCAGCUGGCCUACAAGAACAGGACCACAGAAUCAGGUCCUGUAAAAGGGAGACUCUUACUCUGUCACCCAGGCUUGAGUGCAGUGAUGCAAUCUCGGCUCACUGCAACCUCCGCCUCCCAGGUUCAAGUGAUUCUCGUGCCUCAGCCUCCCGAGUAGCUGGGACUACAGGUGCACGCCACCAUGCCCAGCUAAUUUUUGUAUUUUAUUUUUUUAGUAGAGAUGGGGUUUUGCUAUGUUGGCCAGGCUGGUCUUGAACUUCUGACCUCAGGUGAUCUGCCCGCCUUAGCCUCCCAAAGUGAUGGGAUUACAAGUGUGAGCCAGUGCACCUGGCCUAUUUUUCUAUUUAUUUGUGUCAUCAACUUUUUUCAUCAAUGUUAUAUAAUUUUCAGCAUAUAGAUCUUUUACUGCCUUGAUUAAAUUUACUCCUAUGUAUUUUAUUCUUCAAUCCUAUUGUAAAUGGAAUUAUUUUCUUAAUUUAUUUUUCAGAUAGUUUGUUGUUAGUGUACAAAAUGCUACUGAUUUUUAGAGGUUGAUUUUCUCUAAUUAUCAGACAAAUAAAUGCAAAUUAAAACCACAAUGAGAUAUCACCUCACAUCUGUUAAACUGGCUAUUACAAAAAAAGAUGGAAGAUAACAAGUGUUGCCAACGAAGUGGAGAAAAGAAAAUCCUGUACACUGUUGGUGGAAAUAUAAAUUAGUACAGCCAUUUUGAAAAACAGUAUGGAGGUUCCACAAAAAACUAAAAAUAGAAUUACUAUAUGAUCCAGCAACCUCAUUUCUAGGUAUAUAUCCAAAGGAACUUAAAUCAGUAUGUCUAAGAGAUAUCUGUGCUCCCUUGUUCACUGCAGCAUUAUUCUCAAUAGCCAAGAUAUGAAAACAACUGAAGUGCCAUCAACAGAUGAAUGGAUUUUUAAAAUGUGGUACACACACACACACACACAAUAGAAUACUAUUCAGCCUUUAAAAAGCAGAAAUUCUGUCAUUUGCAACAACAUGAGUGAAUAUAGAAUGCAUUAUCCUAAGUGAAAUAAGCCAGGCACAGAGAAACAAAUACUGCAUGAUUUCACUUACAUGUGAAAUUUUUAAAAGUUGAACUCAUAGAAGGAGAAUAGUGGUUACCAGAGGCUGGGAAGGUAAGGUAACUGGAGAAAGAAGAAAUGUUGGUCAAAGGGUACAAACUUUCUGUUAGAAAAAAUAGGUUCUGGUGAUCUUUUGUACAGCAUGGUGACUGUACAUGGUGACAUGUUAAUAGUAAUGUAUAUUUUUAAAUAGCUAAAGGAGUGGUUUUAGAUAUUAUCACCAUAAAGAAAAGUAUUUAAGGUGAUGAAUAUGUUAAUUAGCCUGAUUUAAUCAUUCCACAGUGCAUACUUGUAUCGAAAUAUCAUAUUGGACUCCAUAGAUAUAUAUAAUUAUUAUUUGUCAAUAAAACUUAAAAAAAUAAAAUAAUAGUCCUGAUCAUCAUUCAGGAAAAGGUCUUUAAUUUGCAACAUAUUCUAAUGAGCUAAAUAUUCUUCCUAUUUGUAUAUGUUUGCAUAAGAUAUCGAUUAGUGAUCUAAUACCAAGAAGAAUUGUUUUUCUUAAACAGAAAUAUGUUUAUGACAGAGUUGGUUAAAGUCACCUAAUCAACAAUAUUUGAUAUUUGUUUUAUAUUUAUUAUGUGCUAGGCUUUGUGUUACAGUACUAAUUCAAGCCAUGGCAACCCUGAAGAGAAUAUCUUAGUAGCUCAAUUAUAGUCCCAGGGCUUAGGGAGAUAGGGUAACUUGCAAAAGUAUACACAAUCAGAUGCAAUAGAGUUGAACUUUGAAUGCAUAAUAUUGGAUAUCAAAGUUUCUAUUAUGAACCUCUGUGCUUUACUCUCUGUAAGAAUAGGUAUGAUGCUAAGGACACAGUUGGGUGCCUAAUACAUGUUUUUUGCUUUUGAAUGUCUCAUUAUGUGAGUUAAAUAACCUAUAUGACCCACUCAGAAAUCAUUUUGUGUGUGGAUUCUUUUCUAUAUAAUAAACCAAUCAAUUGCUUAGAAAAUAAAAUAUAACGGCCAACAUAUAAAUUUGACUACAAUGUUAUGUAUGACUUUAAAAAAAUUAUUGUAUAGCAUAUCCAUAAAAUCAUUUUGGUAUAAUCAUACUGACACCAUCGAGGUGGUAUUCAGCUUGCUGAAACUUAUUCCUGUAAAUAAAAUCAGAUUCGAGAAAAGAGGACUAAAGACAUAGAAAGAGAAUAGAAACCAGAGAAUUUCAUUUCCAAGGUUGUUCAGGUAGGCUAGUUUAUGCUGUGGCAACAAACGUCAGUGUGUCUCUUCCAUGCUGCAUGUCCAGCGUGGGUUUUGAAAAAGGACAUUUUCUUUCUCGCUAACACUCAGGGACCCAGGCUGAUGGAGGCUCUGCCUUUCUGUUGCUGCAUAGCUCCGCUGUUAUGGCCACAGAGGAAGAAGAUAAUAAAGUCAAUUUUUAUCCAUAUGUCUACCUUGCAUCUUGAAAUCGACAAACAUCACCUCUACUUAUAGCCCAUUGGCCCAAAGUAGUCACAUGACCCUGUAUAACUGUCAAGGUGCUGGGACUGUGGGGAAGCACCUCACAUUCUUCAGGCACUAAAUGUAUCUGUCACAGAGAGCUUAUCUAGUCCACUGUCUUUCAAAAUGUGCACCUUUGAAACAUAGGGCUUUGCAGAGUUGUGUAAUGAGUCCUGGAAAUAAUAAAGUACAGUCAACUAAAUAAUAAACAUGAAAACCACCGGAUGGAUUUUAUCAACUGUUAAGUGCUUUUUUAUUAGAAGAGCUAUAAAUUAUUGUGUCGUGGAAAGAAGGAAAAGUUUUGCAGCCAACAGAAGUUGGGAAUUCACUCAUGUGCUUCAUUUUUUUCUGUUUUCAAAGAAUCAUUCACUUAAAAAAUCUCACCCAGAUUAAAGCUGUCUUGACCAGCCACUUAACAUCCUGCAAUGUCUUAUAACAUCCUGCAAUGUCUUAUAACAUGAUAUUUCUCCUGCUUGUGUUUUAGCUUCAUAAGCAAUAAAGCCAGGAUGUUAAGCUGGUAUUUCUAAUUACGUAUUACAAUUCUAUACAUGCUAGUUUUCAACAACAACAAAAUCAAAGGAAAGUUCACAUGUGUUGUGAAGCAACCACCAUAC